GGUGAAUUUUGAUGCCUCGCCUUUUUUGAUUAGCUAGUUGGUGGGGUAAAGGCCGACAUGUGCGACAAUCCAUAGCUGUCUGAGAGGAUGAUCAGCUCACUGUGACUGACACACGGCCCUACUCCUACUGUAGGCAGUAGUGGGGAAUAUUGGACAAUGGGCGCAAGCCUGAUCCAGCCAUGCCGCGUGAGUGAUGAAGGCCCUAGGGUUGUAAAUCUCUUUCAACGGUGAAGAUAAUGACGGUAGCCGUAGAAAAAGCCCCGGCCAACUACGUGCCAUCAGCCGCGGUA
rnacentral:rRNA from 1 species